ACUCAUCACGUGCAUCCCGCUCCCUUUCCCUUGAGUCAUGUCUGGGCAGAGAAGGGGAACGUGAAUAAGAUCGAUAUCGGCCUCUUGUAGAUCUUGAUGGAGAUCUUCUGCGCCCACCUAUCGAGUAUCGCUCGCUGAUCCUGGAAGUCAUACGCAUGUCUUGUGGAGUUUUUCUGUUUUCUUCAGCAAAUACAAUUGUAAUUUCUCGUCCACCUAUGACCUUAUGGUUCAUAUGAUAUUUGGCCUCGGCUGCAUCAUCGGGAUUGCGGAACUUCACAAAUCCAAAGCCCCUUGGCUCCCCAGUGUAAUAGUUCUUUGGGAGGUAGACA
rnacentral:misc_RNA from 1 species